rnacentral:rRNA from 1 species
GAUGAACGCUGGCGGCGUGCCUAACACAUGCAAGUCGAACGGAGUCGUUUUGGAAAUCUCUUCGGAGAUGGAAUUCUCGACUUGGUGGCGGACGGGUGAGUAACGCGUGAGCAAUCUGCCUUUAAGAGGGGGAUAACAGUCGGAAACGGCUGCUAAUACCGCAUAAAGCAUUAAAUUCGCAUGUUUUUGAUGCCAAAGGAGCAAUCCGCUUUUAGAUGAGCUCGCGUCUGAUUAGCUAGUUGGCGGGGUAACGGCCCACCAAGGCGACGAUCAGUAGCCGGACUGAGAGGUUGAACGGCCACAUUGGGACUGAGACACGGCCCAGACUCCUACGGGAGGCAGCAGUGGGGAAUAUUGCGCAAUGGGGGAAACCCUGACGCAGCAACGCCGCGUGAUUGAAGAAGGCCUUCGGGUUGUAAAGAUCUUUAAUCAGGGACGAAACAAAUGACGGUACCUGAAGAAUAAGCUCCGGCUAACUACGUG